rnacentral:lncRNA from 1 species
CAGGAUUGGUUUUGUUCAGAUUCUUCUAGGGGUAAAGAGGUAAAAACAAAGUGAUCUAGGAAGGAUAGAAGAGAGAAUUACUAGCUAGGAUAGGGCUACCCUAGGUAGGCCUAUUUAAAGACCUCCUCUCAUUCAUUUGAGGGGUCUUCAGCGAUUAUUCCUUCAGCCAUUAGACUUUCAGCUGAAAACUCACAUAAACAGUCAGGUUUUCUUUCUUUUUUUUCAGCUUCAAGUUAGUUUCUAAAAUCAAGCAAUCAAAAAAAUACAAAACAAAAUAUACAGAAAACAGAAAAUACACAAAAAAAAAACACAGUUGCAUCAAGUAUUGUGUGUUCUGAUAGUUAUUCUACACGAAUUGUCACUUUUGAGUUGAAUAUGUGGUCUCUUCUUCUGGUUACUGAGCUUGUUCUAAGUGUGUUGAUCCUAUUUUGGUUGGUUUCAAUUUGGAAUUGGCUGUUUAAGCUUGGUUUGGGUGUUUGUUGGUUGCUUAUUCAUCUGUGGUCACCUCUGGGUUAAUUUGAUGUUGUUUUGGAAGCAAACUGUUAGCUCUCCUUGAUUUAAACACUUUUGGAUUGAUUGAUCUUAUUUCUGGGAUGUUUGUGAACAAUAUUGAUUGCUGCUGACUUCUUCUGCUUCCUCUCAAUUUCAAAUUCCAUGUACUUACCUCACUUCGAAUGAUGUAUGUGAUUGUGAGCUGAAUAAAAUCAAGUUGGAAAGGAAAUUGAAGCGCAGGAUUUUUUUUCUGUUUUAAUUUGCCUGCUACUCACUGUUAUGCAUUUGAAAUGUUUGAAUCAUGUAUAUUAAUUUGAAUACAGUUGGACUGUUAAAUUAGCCUAUAUUAUGACAGUGAAUAUUUGUUUCUAAGUAUUUGGAGUCUUUUGAAGCUUGUUGUGUCGUUAAAAUGGAAAGAUUUUGGAAUAUUUGUAUGUGAUAGUGAGUUUGAGCUACACCGAAGUAGCUACUCAAUUUGUUGUAGUCGAUUUGGUUAUCUAUGUUAUUAGCAAUGAGUCUGUGUGUGGAGUGGUUAAUGAUUGUAGUUUCCAGAUUAAAAAUAUUAAGAAAAUAGGCGAACAUGAAUUUAAGACUAUGUUGAAAUCUAUGUAUGUUGUUUGAUUGUAUUUGGCAUGACUCGCAGCAGAUGGCAAUUGUUCGGCAUUAAUUAGUUGAUUUUCCUUAUGAUCAAUGAUUAGUAGUUUGGCUUCCACUGGAGGUAUUAAAAUAAGGCUUAGCCCUUUUCCCCUCAAGCUCGGUCUGGGGCUCGAUCCUUUGACCUCUCUGUUCAGGACCCACUUGAUUCAUUCAUUUUAGGCUUUUUCUUUUGGGCAUGUGACUGAAGUGGCAUUCGAAAAUGAUGCCUAAUUCUCUUCUAUUAAUUAUUAGCCCAAUUUUCUUCUAUUGUACAUUGAAUCAGUAGAAAACCUUAGUUACCUCUAAGUUAGACCUUUAAAUAAUUUUGAGAUGAGCCUGGCUAAACACGAACAAAUGCGGGGGCCUCGAUAAUUAAUUAUAAGAAUUGCUUAGAAUAUGGGAGGGUUGUUUAGAGAAUUUCA